GGGUGAGUGCUGCACGAGUAGCACGCUCUGAAAUCCGUCAGAUCUUGACCGAAGCAGCGGUAGGAGUUUGAGCACUGCGAUGCAGUGAGCUCGCCCAUU
rnacentral:SRP_RNA from 1 species